GGGUAAAGGCCCGAGGACUCUAAGGAGACUGCCGGUGUUAAACCGUGAGGAAGGUGGGGACGACGUCAAGUCAUCAUGGCCUUUAUGUCCAGGGCUACAAACGUGCUACAAUGGCCGGCAUAAAGGGAGGCAAAACCGUGAGGUGGAGCAAAUCUCAAAAAUCCGGCCCCAGUUCGGAUUGGAGGCUGCAAUUCGCCUCCAUGAAGUUGGAAUCGCUAGUAAUCGCGUGUCAGCUACAACGCGGUGAAUGUGUUCCUGAGCCUU
rnacentral:rRNA from 1 species